AACGAACGCUGGCGGCAGGCUUAACACAUGCAAGUCGAGCGCCCCGCAAGGGGAGCGGCAGCCGGGUGAGUAACGCGUGGGAACGUACCUUUUGGUUCGGAACAACUCCGGGAAACUGGAGCUAAUACCGGAUAAGCCCUAACGGGGAAAGAUUUAUCGCCGAAAGAUCGGCCCGCGUCUGAUUAGCUAGUUGGUGAGGUAACGGCUCACCAAGGCGACGAUCAGUAGCUGGUCUGAGAGGAUGAUCAGCCACACUGGGACUGAGACACGGCCCAGACUCCUACGGGAGGCGGCAGUGGGGAAUAUUGGACAAUGGGCGCAAGCCUGAUCCAGCCAUGCCGCGUGAGUGAUGAAGGCCUUAGGGUUGUAAAGCUCUUUUGUCCGGGAAGAUAAUGACUGUACCGGAAGAAUAAGCCCCGGCUAACUUCGUG
rnacentral:rRNA from 1 species